rnacentral:rRNA from 1 species
AGAGUUUGAUCCUGGCUCAGGAUGAACGCUAGCGACAGGCUUAACACAUGCAAGUCGAGGGGCAGCAUGAUUUGUAGCAAUACAGAUUGAUGGCGACCGGCGCACGGGUGAGUAACGCGUAUGCAACUUACCUAUCAGAGGGGGAUAGCCCGGCGAAAGUCGGAUUAAUACCCCAUGAAACAGGGGUCCCGCAUGGGAAUAUUUGUUAAAGAUUCAUCGCUGAUAGAUAGGCAUGCGUUCCAUUAGGCAGUUGGCGGGGUAACGGCCCACCAAACCGACGAUGGAUAGGGGUUCUGAGAGGAAGGUCCCCCACAUUGGUACUGAGACACGGACCAAACUCCUACGGGAGGCAGCAGUGAGGAAUAUUGGUCAAUGGGCGUAAGCCUGAACCAGCCAAGUCGCGUGAGGGAUGAAGGUUCUAUGGAUCGUAAACCUCUUUUAUAAGGGAAUAAAGUGCGGGACGUGUCCCGUUUUGUAUGUACCUUAUGAAUAAGGAUCGGCUAACUCCGUGCCAGCAGCCGCGGUAAUACGGAGGAUCCGAGCGUUAUCCGGAUUUAUUGGGUUUAAAGGGAGCGUAGAUGGAUGUUUAAGUCAGUUGUGAAAGUUUGCGGCUCAACCGUAAAAUUGCAGUUGAUACUGGAUAUCUUGAGUGCAGUUGAGGCAGGCGGAAUUCGUGGUGUAGCGGUGAAAUGCUUAGAUAUCACGAAGAACUCCGAUUGCGAAGGCAGCCUGCUAAGCUGCAACUGACAUUGAGGCUCGAAAGUGUGGGUAUCAAACAGGAUUAGAUACCCUGGUAGUCCACACGGUAAACGAUGAAUACUCGCUGUUUGCGAUAUACAGCAAGCGGCCAAGCGAAAGCGUUAAGUAUUCCACCUGGGGAGUACGCCGGCAACGGUGAAACUCAAAGGAAUUGACGGGGGCCCGCACAAGCGGAGGAACAUGUGGUUUAA